rnacentral:misc_RNA from 1 species
GAUGAAGAACGUAGCGAAAUGCGAUAAGUAAUGUGAAUUGCAGAAUUCAGUGAAUCAUCGAAUCUUUGAACGCACAUUGCGCCCAUUAGUAUUCUAGUGGGCAUGCCUGUUCGAGCGUCAUUUAGUCCACUUAAGCCCUUUGCUUAGUAUUGGGAAUCUACUUUUUGCGGGAGCUACCCUGUAGCUGCCGUUGUAGUUCCUCAAAGACAGCGGCGGAGUCGUGGUUUUACUCUGAGCUUAGUAAUUUUUUUCUAGCUUUCGAGUUGCCAUAACCCCCUUGCCGUAAAACACCCUUUAUUUUUUAAUGGUUGACCUCGGAUCAGGUAGGAAUACCCGCUGAACUUAAGCAUAUCAAUAAGCGGAGGA